GAUGAACGCUGGCGGCGUGCUUAACACAUGCAAGUCAAGGGGGCCCAGCAAUGGGCAACCGGCGAACGGGUGCGUAACACGUGAGCAACCUACCGAAUUGUGGGGAUGAGCGGCCCAAGCCAGGCCGGGUAAUACCGCAUACGCUCGAGUCGAGGCAUUUCGAUUCGAGGAAAUCUACGGAGCAAUUCGAGGGGCUCGCGGCCUAUCAGCUAGUUGGCGAGGUAAUGGCUCACCAAGGCGACGACGGGUAGCUGGUCUGAGAGGAUGGCCAGCCACAUUGGGACUGAGAUACGGGCCCCAGACUCCUACGGGGAGGCAGCAGUGGGGAAUCUUGCGCAAUGGCCUGACGGCUGACGCAGCGACGCCGCGUGAGGGAUGACGCUCUUCGGAGUGUAAACCUCUUUUGCCCGGGACGAAUUGCCGACAUUUUGUCGGCUUGACGGUACCGGGUGAAUAAGCACCGGCUAACUCCGUGCCAGCAGCCGCGGUAAUAC
rnacentral:rRNA from 1 species